AGGGCACAUGGCUUAUCCACAGUAUAAUCAUGAGAACCAAUAUUUACUAAGUCCUCACUCUGGGCCAGAAAUUCUUCUAAGCAUUUACCAACUCACUUAGACUUGCAAGAGCCUGUGAAACAGAUGUCAUUCUUGUCUCCAUUUGACAGAGGAGUGUUGCAGGUCUACGGAUCUCGGUGCAAUUUGUUCAGUAUAUGGAGCAAUGCAAUGAGUAUUCCAACCCUGAACAGCUGGGAAAGGAGAAAGAUGUGAAAAAUGAGGAGGGAUCCAGGUGGAAAGAAGAUGAAGAUCCAAUUUUUAUCCAAUGGCACAGAAGGCUCUUCAUGUCCAUGCUCUGUUAAUGUCACCUUCCCCAAGCCGUGUCUGCACCAACUGCCCUGCACAAACCGCCACAGGACACCCACAACCCUGCACCCUGCCCUAGUCUUCUCUGCAUUUUCCCUCAAGCUCCAUGUUGCCUGCCGAUGUCUGCUUUUACAAUUCCCUCUUUCCAGAGUAUUCCCUUCAACUUCCUCAUUCUCAUUUCAACUAAUUUUUACUGGUACUCCAGUCCUCAUCCUGCAGGGCACCCCUUUGGAGUCAUUUUCUGACCUGGAGGUUUUAUAGAAAAUGUUCCUCUCUGUUUACCCUAUCAUGGCAGUGGUUUGCCAUAGGACAAUUGCCUGCUAAUUUCUCUGUCUCCUUCAUUACCUGGAAGCUCCUGGAGGGCAGGAUUUAUAUAAUCUUCACCACUGUUUUCCUAGUAGUUAGGAGUACCCAACCAAUAACAGUCACUCAAUAAAUACUUUUUGAAUAAAUUGUUGCAAAUAAAUAGUAACCCUAGAAUA
rnacentral:lncRNA from 1 species